rnacentral:rRNA from 1 species
AGUGGCGGACGGGUGAGGAACACGUGGGUGACCUACCUUGGAGUGAGGAAUACCGGCGAGAAAUCGCCGACAAUACCGCAUACGCUUCUGUAGCGGAAAGCCUCGCUCGGAGAUGGGCCCGCGGCCGAUUAGCUAGUUGGUGGGGUAAGAGCCUACCAAGGCAACGAUCGGUAGCUGGUCUGAGAGGACGAUCAGCCACACUGGGAUUGAGAACGGCCCAGACUCCUACGGGGGGCAGCAGUGAGGAAUUUUCGGCAAUGGGGGCAACCCUGACCGAGCAACGCCGCGUGCAGGAAGAAGGUCUUCGGAUCGUAAACUGCUUUUCUCUGGGAAGAGGGACGGUACCAGAGGAAGAAGCCCCGGCUAACUAC